GAAGAAUAAACCGGUGUGAACACCACCGGUGAUGACGGUACUGUUUGUAAGCUCCGGCUAACUCCGUGCCAGCAGCCGCGGUAAUACGGGGGGAGCAAGCGUUGUUCGGAUUUACUGGGCGUAAAGGGCGCGUAGGCGGCCACCGCAAGUCGGUUGUGAAAUCUCCGGGCUUAACCCGGAAAGGUCAACUGAUACUGCGGGGCUAGAGUGCAGAAGGGGCAACUGGAAUUCUCGGUGUAGCGGUGAAAUGCGUAGAUAUCGAGAGGAACACCUGCGGCGAAGGCGGGUUGCUGGGCUGACACUGACGCUGAGGCGCGAAAGCUAGGGGAGCGAACGGGAUUAGAUACCCCGGUAGUCCUAGCCUUAAACGAUGAAUGCUUGGUGUCUGGGGUUCUAUAGUCCCCGGGUGCCGUCGCUAACGCUUUAAGCAUUCCGCCUGGGGAGUACGGUCGCAAGACUGAAACUCAAAGGAAUUGACGGGGACCCGCACAAGCGGUGGAGCAUGUGGUUUAAUUCGACGCAACGCGAAGAACCUUACCUGGGCUAGAAUGCCUCUGACCGGCGUAGAGAUACGCCUUCCUGGGUAACACCAGGCAGAGUGCAAGGUGCUGCAUGGCUGU
rnacentral:rRNA from 1 species